rnacentral:rRNA from 1 species
GACGAACGCUGGCUGCGUGCUUAACACAUGCAAUUCGAACGAGUGGCUAACGGGUGAGUAACACGUGGGUGAUCUGCCUUGCACUUCGGGAUACGCUUUGGAAACUGGGUCUAAUACCGGAUAGUGCAAGAUGAGCUCGCGGCCUAUCAGCUUGUUGGUGAGGUACUGGCUACAAAGGCACGACGGGUAGCCGGCCUGAGAGGGUGUACGGCCACAUUGGGACUGAGAUACGGCCCAGAAUCCGACGGGAGGCAGCAGUGGGGAAUAUUGCACAAUGUGCGGAAGCCUGAUGCAGCGACGCCGCGUGGGGGAUGAAGGCCUUCGGGGUGUAAACUCCUUUCGACAGGGACGCGGUACCUGUAUAAGAAGCACCGGCUAACUACGUGCCAGCAGCCGCGGUAAUUC